rnacentral:rRNA from 1 species
UACGGAGGAUGCAAGCGUUAUCCGGAAUGAUUGGGCGUAAAGCGUCCGCAGGUGGCUAUGUAAGUCGGGUGUGAAAUUUCGGAGCUUAACUCCGAAACUGCAUUCGAUACUGCGGUGCUUGAGGACUGGAGAGGAGACUGGAAUUCAUGGUGUAGCAGUGAAAUGCGUAGAGAUCAUGAGGAAGACCAGUGGCGAAGGCGGGUCUCUGGACAGUUCCUGACACUGAGGCACGAAGGCCAGGGGAGCAAACGGG